ACUGUAAUUUAAUUUUUUCAAGGAAAAAUUUCAAAUAACACUUCUGUGAUUUCGUAAUUUCUCACUUUAAUAUCUUGCGGUUUAAAGUGUAUCACUUUUGUACUCUAUAAUUUUUAUUUUUUUUUUGUUAUCUACUCUACUAAUAUUUUUCGUUAAAUUAGUGAUAAAGUUAAAACUAAAGAGUAGUAAAGUGAAUAUUCGAUAAACUAUAGGUGGAGUAUCUGAAGUUUUUUAUAUAUGAUUUAACGAAAAGUUAACGGAGGGACUGACGAAAAGAGAAAAAUAAAAUCAUAGGGUACUAAAUUGAUACACUUUAAACCACAUGAUAUUAAAGUGAAAAAAUACGAAACCACAUGAGUGGUAUUUAAAGUUUACCUUUUUUUUUAAAAAAAGGUAAAAUUAUAUGUGAAAAUGUAAAAUAUCUAAAUAUAAAUUUAUACGAAAUAUUAUUUUUCUAACAGAUAAAGCUUUCAGAGAUAAUAGCUAUUUUAUUUAAUUUUAUAUGGGAUCGGAAUAGAAGAUCGUGAGUUUGAAUCAUGCUACCAUUAUU
rnacentral:lncRNA from 1 species